rnacentral:rRNA from 1 species
CACGUAGGGUGCGAGCGUUGUCCGGAAUUAUUGGGCGUAAAGAGCUCGUAGGCGGUGUGUCACGUCGGCCGUGAAAACCUGCAGCUUAACUGUGGGCGUGCGGUCGAUACGGGCAUCACUGGAGUUCGGCAGGGAGACUGGAAUUCCUGGUGUAGCGGUGAAAUGCGCAGAUAUCAGGAAGAACACCCGUGGCGAAGGCGGCUCUCUGGGACGGUACUGACGCUGAGACG